UCAGUGCGCUCUUGACGUUUUGUGUGGAGAGAGGGGAGCAGAGAUUGAGUAUGCAGAAGAGCUGAAUUUACUGCAUCUACCACCGGCUAACUAGCGCUGAAAAUUCAUUCUCUGCCUCGCUCUCUCAACCCAAACCUUCCGGAGAUUGG